rnacentral:rRNA from 1 species
GAUGAACGCUGGCGGCGUGCCUAAUACAUGCAAGUCGAGCGAAUGGAUUAAGAGCUUGCUCUUAUGAAGUUAGCGGCGGACGGGUGAGUAACACGUGGGUAACCUGCCCAUAAGACUGGGAUAACUCCGGGAAACCGGGGCAAAUACCGGAUACCAUUUUGAACCGCAUGGUUCGAAAUUGACAGCCGGCUUCGGCUGUCACUCAUGGCUAGACCCGCGUCGCAUUAGCUAGCUGGUGAGGUAACGGCUCACCAAGGCAACGAUGCGUAGCCGACCUGAGAGGGUGAUCGGCCACACUGGGACUGAGACACGGCCCAGACUCCUACGGGAGGCAGCGGUAGGGAAUCUUCCGCAAUGGACGAAAGUCUGACGGAGCAACGCCGCGUGAGUGAUGAAGGCUUUCGGGUCGUAAAACUCUGUUGUUAGGGAAGAACAAGUGCUAGUUGAAUAAGCUGGCACCUUGACGGUACCUAACCAGAAAGCCACGGCUAACUACGUGCCAGCCGCCGCAGUAA